rnacentral:rRNA from 1 species
AGAGGGUGCGAGCGUUGUCCGGAAUCACUGGGCGUAAAGGGCGCGUAGGUGGCCCGGUAAGUAGGGGGUGAAAUCUCGAGGCUCAACUUCGAGGCUGCCUCCUAAACUGCCAGGCUUGAGCAGAGUAGAGGCAGGUGGAAUUCCCGGUGUAGCGGUGGAAUGCGUAGAGAUCGGGAAGAACAUCGGUGGCGAAGGCGGUCUGCUGGGCUCUUGCUGACACUGAUGCGCGACAGCGUGGGGAGCAAACAGGAUUAGAUACCCUGGUAGUCCACGCCGUAAACGAUGGGUACUAGGCGCCGGGGGGAGCGACCCCUUCGGUGCCGUCGCUAACGCAAUAAGUACCCCGCCUGGGGAGUACGGCCGCAAGGCUG